GCCUUCUUAGCUUAGAUGGUAAAGCGUUCGCUUCGUAAGCGAAAGGACAGUGGUUCGAUUCUUGUAGAAGGCU